rnacentral:lncRNA from 12 species
UAAGAAAAACAUAUCCUCAUGGUUUCUCUUCCAGGCAUUUCUCCCUUCCUUCCUUCCUUCCUUCCUUCCUUCCUUCCUUCCUUCCUUCCUUCCUUCCUUCCUUCCUUCCUUCCUUCCUUCCUUCCUUCCUUCCUUCCUUCCCCCCCCCUCCCUCCCUCCCUCCCUCCCUUCUUUCCUUUUUUUGCUAUAUUGCCUAUGACAGGUUAAAAGGGCUGAGCUGUGUUGAUUAACUAUCCAAAUGUUUAAUCAAUACAGCAGUAGCAAGAUACAUUCUGGCUGUGAAAGACCUUGGAAAGGUCCCACUUGCCUUAUUCCCCACCCCCAUGUGAGACAUCAAUGAACUAUUACAUGGUCCCUGCAUAUCAAUGCAGUAGGGCUUAGACAAAUACAAUGUUAAUGGAUAAUUGUGGGUCACCUUGUCAAAAUAUGUUAAAUGCCCCCUGAGUACAUUUUUCCCCCUAUUAAAAAUGACAGUAAACUGCGACCUUGUUGAUAUCAUACGUGCUUUCAGGAAGCAAAUAUUAUUAUUCAAUCUGUAACAGGUUCAUUGAUUUAUGGGUCAAAAAAUUCAUUAGGACUAAAUUAUAAAGCACACUUUGUCUGUUGAUACAACCCAUGGUAAUUGUGUCACAAAGUGCUAAAGAGUCAUACUUAGUUCAGGCAAAAUACCUUUACAAACAUUCAUUCAGAAAACAUACAUAGAGGCAGCUUCUAGCAGAGUGAUUCAUAAGCAAGGUCUGUGUCACUGGAUGUCUGGGAUAUUGACAUAGCAUGGAGUCAGGGAAAGUUCACUAGGUGACCAGGGUCCUUGGACCCUGGCCAAGAAUAUGCCAUCUGUCAGCAUGGUGAUACGUGCCGGAAGCCUGAGCCUUGGAUUCCUGCCUCCCACCAGGUCUAUUCACAACACCACGAACACCCACCCGGAUCCUCCACUGUUGCUGGUGCUGUUGGAGGACAGAGGCUUGCUUGUCAUCUGGCGCUGUGAGUCACAAGGAGACGAAUUGUGGCACUUGAGCUAG